GUUAAAGGGGCUCUGAUGUUCGUGCCACUUCCAACCAAUAUCCUAUGAUUCUAUAGAUCACAACUUCUCCAUCCUGUAGCAGACAGUUUUAUGAAGAGUACCCUCAAAACCAGUUAUCACCUGCUGGCUGAGCAGCUGAUGGUGAACCAUUGUGAAUUUGGAUAGAAAGUGUCUAGUGGCAAGGCAAAAAUCAGGAAGACUGGCAAUGAAUGACUUAAGAUGCAUUGGGUGUCCUUGGCAUCUUUGAUGUCUGACCAAGAUCUGAGUACUCCACAGUGCCUACUUCAGCAGCCCUCAUGGUCACUAGAACAAAAUUGUUCUGGUCUGUUCCACCAAGAAAAAUCUCCACAUGCUUUGCCACAAGGAAGAUUUGUCUCUAUGAUAUGGAAUUGAAAUCCAACAAGCAGCAUUCUGAAACAUGUAAAGAAAAUGAGCUUCGGGCAACUAACUUGAAGCCUGAGAAACCCUGUGAGUUUUUUAAGGCAAAUAUCUUUCUAAAGAAAGAAGAAUGAAAAUGGGAUUGCUGUUUUCUGCAAUAAUACCAUUCAGACCUCUUUGAAUUACAAACUGUAAGGAAACGUGUUUAACUGUGCAGUCUUUUUCAUAUCAUAAACUAGGAACUCUGAGAUCAGCUACUUUUUUUUAAGGGAAGAGAAUUCAGUGGGGUAUAGAUGUGGUGCAUACAGGUCUCAGCUAGGGCACUCCCUCCUUCAAUGCAGAGGAGCAACUCAUCUGUAAUUAAAAGUCUUAAAUUAUUACCUAGGGCAAUGUAGUCAAGUGACUUGUCCAUGUCACAUAGCUAGUGUAUGUCAGAGACGUGUUCCUGCCUUUAAGACUGGCCCUCUAGACACUGUAUAAUCUGCUUCUUUGCUUUGAAAUAAAUGGGAAGAUUUGAUUUGUUUUCUUUACUGC
rnacentral:lncRNA from 1 species